GCAAUGGACGAAAGUCUGACCGAGCAACGCCGCGUGAGUGAAGAAGGUUUUCGGAUCGUAAAGCUCUGUUGUAAGUCAAGAACGUGUGUGAGAGUGGAAAGUUCACACAGUGACGGUAGCUUACCAGAAAGGGACGGCUAACUACGUGCCAGCAGCCGCGGUAAUACGUAGGUCCCGAGCGUUGUCCGGAUUUAUUGGGCGUAAAGGGAGCGCAGGCGGUCAGGAAAGUCUGGAGUAAAAGGCUAUGGCUCAACCAUAGUGUGCUCUGGAAACUGUCUGACUUGAGUGCAGAAGGGGAGAGUGGAAUUCCAUGUGUAGCGGUGAAAUGCGUAGAUAUAUGGAGGAACACCAGUGGCGAAAGCGGCUCUCUGGUCUGUCACUGACGCUGAGGCUCGAAAGCGUGGGUAGCGAACAGGAUUAGAUACCCUGGUAGUCCACGCCGUAAACGAUGAGUGCUAGGUGUUAGGCCCUUUCCGGGGCUUAGUGCCGGAGCUAACGCAAUAAGCACUCCGCCUGGGGAGUACGACCGCAAGGUUGAAACUCAAAGGAAUUGACGGGGGCCCGCACAGGCGGUGGAGCAUGUGGUUUAAUUCGAAGCAACGCGA
rnacentral:rRNA from 1 species